CCUACGGGAGGCAGCAGUGGGGAAUAUUGCACAAUGGGCGAAAGCCUGAUGCAGCGACGCCGCGUGAGGGAUGACGGCCUUCGGGUUGUAAACCUCUUUCAGCAGGGAAGAAGCGAAAGUGACGGUACCUGCAGAAGAAGCGCCGGCUAACUACGUGCCAGCAGCCGCGGUAAUACGUAGGGCGCAAGCGUUGUCCGGAAUUAUUGGGCGUAAAGAGCUCGUAGGCGGCUUGUCACGUCGGGUGUGAAAGCCCGGGGCUUAACCCCGGGUCUGCAUUCGAUACGGGCUAGCUAGAGUGUGGUAGGGGAGAUCGGAAUUCCUGGUGUAGCGGUGAAAUGCGCAGAUAUCAGGAGGAACACCGGUGGCGAAGGCGGAUCUCUGGGCCAUUACUGACGCUGAGGAGCGAAAGCGUGGGGAGCGAACAGGAUUAGAUACCCUGGUAGUCCACGCCGUAAACGGUGGGAACUAGGUGUUGGCGACAUUCCACGUCGUCGGUGCCGCNGCACGCAUACGUACCCGUCCGUCGGGUAGGUACGGCCGCGACGACGUAAACGUUAAACGGUAAAGUUAGUAACGGUCGUGAGACGUGCCGACGGACGACGACGAGGGAGGAGG
rnacentral:rRNA from 1 species